rnacentral:rRNA from 1 species
UACGGGGGGGGGCAAGCGUUGUUCGGAAUUACUGGGCGUAAAGGGUUCGUAGGUGGCCUGCUAAGUCAGACGUGAAAUCCCUCGGCUUAACCGGGGAACUGCGUCUGAUACUGGAUGGCUAGAGUUUGGGAGAGGGAUGCGGAAUUCCAGGUGUAGCGGUGAAAUGCGUAGAUAUCUGGAGGAACACCGGUGGCGAAGGCGGCAUCCUGGACCAACACUGACGCUGAGGCACGAAGGCCAGGGGAGCAAACGGG